AGCGAACGCUGGCGGCAGGCCUAACACAUGCAAGUCGAACGGAUCCUUCGGGAUUAGUGGCGGACGGGUGAGUAACACGUGGGAACGUGCCCUUUGGUUCGGAACAACUCAGGGAAACUUGAGCUAAUACCGGAUGUGCCCUUCGGGGGAAAGAUUUAUCGCCAUUGGAGCGGCCCGCGUCUGAUUAGCUAGUUGGUGAGGUAAAGGCUCACCAAGGCGACGAUCAGUAGCUGGUCUGAGAGGAUGAUCAGCCACAUUGUGACUGAGACACGGCCCAAACUCCUACGGGAGGCAGCAGUGGGGAAUCUUGCGCAAUGGGCGAAAGCCUGACGCAGCCAUGCCGCGUGAAUGAUGAAGGUCUUAGGAUUGUAAAAUUCUUUCACCGGGGACGAUAAUGACGGUACCCGGAGAAGAAGCCCCGGCUAACUUCGUGCCAGCCGCCGCAGUAAUAC
rnacentral:rRNA from 1 species